ACUUUGCCUCACUUAAAUCCAAAUUAUGAGCAAGUCAAGACACCAUUCACACUGUAUCUGGAACCCAGCAUUGUGAUGUCAUUUGGUUUUCUUCAAAAAAGACAAAACAACAAGGAUAAGGAAAUUGAAAGUGAAGAUAGCACUAACAGCCAAAGGGGUUAAGGUAGGCAGGAAAGGCUACAGGAGAAUCACACCUGAAUUGAACUGAAUCAAGAUGAGAGCAGAGACGAGAAGGCCCCUAGGAACCCUCAUCAGAGGCUACCUCAUAUCUGCUGGACAUUGGUUUCUCCAAUUUUAGAGAUUUAGAUUUAGAGAGGAUUUUAGAAAUUCACCUCCAGUUAUUAGUGCUCUCUACUUACUCUCUCUCCUAUUAUAGAAUACAAAUAGUUAUAUCAAAAGUUCUGAUUUUCUGGACCUGAAUGAAGGGAAAGAGAGUCUCAGAUCUGUUCUUCCAUUUCUUGUUGGGAGAUGAACCCAAGUCCCAAAGUCCCAAAGUCCAUUUAUAUGAGACUCUUUCUUCAUCAGUGGAGAACGUGUGCCUGGUGACUGCAUAAGGGGGAAGGUUUGGAGUCCAUGAGAGAGGGAAAGAGGAGAGCUCUAGUCUCCUCUGGCUCUUCAGUUUCUUUAGACUUUGGAUAUUUCUGGUUUCCAGCUUUGAGAGAAAAGAUGAAUGAUGUCUACCCCACUUCCGGCUGCUGAAGGGAAAUACUCUGGGAAGAAGCCAGUAUGAGAGGAGCUAGCCAUCUCCAUCCCUAUGCCCAGUGUACUACAGUUAACUACCUCUUGGGAGAUCGAUGUGAGGGCAGAUGUGAUUCAAGACCGUGGCACUCUCUCCAAAGGACAAUGUAAACAGCUGUUCAAGAAGAGUGGCAUCUGGCAUCAGCCCUACUCCCAGGUGAGCAGGUGGGAGUGAGAAGAUCACAAAAGGGUGGAUUAAGAGAUUGAGAAAGAUGACCAUUUUAUUCCUUUUCAGGAGUCUCACUAAAGAGUUAUGCUACUCUUCCAUCUAGGUGCCAAAGAGGCUAGGGUGCUAAGCCUGCAGUCAGGAAGACCUAAGUUUUCAUUCUGCCUCUAAUACUUAUGUGCCCUAUGACCCUGGGCAAAUGACAACCUUUCACAGCCUUAGUUUCUUCGUUUGCAUCGUGGAGAUAACAAAAAAACAACUACACAGGGUUGUUUUCAGGAUCAAAAGGGUCA
rnacentral:lncRNA from 1 species